rnacentral:rRNA from 1 species
UACGAAGGGGGCUAGCGUUGCUCGGAAUUACUGGGCGUAAAGCGCACGUAGGCGGUUUCUUAAGUCGGGGGUGAAAUCCUGGAGCUCAACUCCGGAACUGCCUUCGAUACUGGGAGACUUGAGUUCGGGAGAGGUGAGUGGAACUGCGAGUGUAGAGGUGAAAUUCGUAGAUAUUCGCAAGAACACCAGUGGCGAAGGCGGCUCACUGGCCCGAUACUGACGCUGAGGCGCGAAAGCGUGGGGAGCAAA